UGUGUAUGUUAAACCCAGAAGCAAUAUUCAAUUAAUUUAAUUAAAUGUCAUCAAAUGUAGUAUCUUUUAUCCUCCCAAAUCACUCUGUAACCUUAUCCCACCUUCAACUCUCUCUCCUCCUCCUCCUCCUCUUUCUCGUCAUCUUCAGUUUCUGUUAUGAAAAAAACCAAACAUUCACCGUAAUCGCUGAGCAAGUUCACAAACCCUGAGUUUCAACACUCUUAUAAGUUCUCGCCCAUGUUAAGCUCAACCCCGUACUAUUAUUAUUAACACGCUACUAGUAAUAUUGUUGAUAACAAUUACAAUCAAUUUGAAUCCUUUGCGCAGUUAAUUCACUUUCUCACUCCAAACAAAAAUACAUAAACUAAGAUGAUCAACAUAUAUUUAUAAAUUAUAAUGUCCAUGUGUAUAUAAGAGUUAUCCUGUUUGGUUGAUCACUUCAAGAAACUGUAAGAAUCAGAAUUUAAGAUAUUUAACUCUGAUUUUUACCAAAUUGAACAAACUCAAUUUGCUCUUUGUAAAUUCACAAUCAACAGGUUAACUUAUUGGCUAUUUCAUCCAUUUUUUAUCAACCCGAUUCGUUCCAUUUUUUGUUUAGUUAGAUUAUUGUUUCACUUUUUUUCCAUCACAUUUUAAAGAUGAAGUUAAUUAACGCCAGCAAACAGCUUAGUCAUAACAAUUGCUUCAACAAUCGUUACAACUUCAUCAGCAUCAUGAAGGUUUGUUUAAUUUAUAUCUCAUUUGGUUGUUUUUUUGUAUCAAGUUUACCCCUAAAUGGUCAUUCAUCUGAUCCCGGUCAAUCACUUGGUGAUUACACUUUCACUGGACUAGCUGAUGAUUCACAACAAGAUCCAUCUUCACCUUCAUUAACACCUUCCUCAUCAUCAUUGUCAGGAUCACCUUCAGCUGGUUCGGUUGCAGGUUUAAUCUCGGCAAACGGUAAUAACCUUGAUUCAGCCAAGGAAUGGAUUCAGUUAAGAAAUCUGCUCUCAGAAUUGGGACAACAGAAAGUGUUAACUCCAUCAACUUACAGAUUUCGUGAGAUGUUGAAAAAAUCUGAUGACCACAGUAAAAAGAUUAUGCUUGAUAGACUGAGUGGUCAUCCGAUGGGUAAAUUUUUGUUUACUGGUAAGCGAAAUGUAGGUCAAAUAUGUCUACCAGGAACGGGCUGUGAAUACCUGGAUAUGGGCAGAGAGGCUGAAGCUAAAGAGUUUCUUAAUCCAAGUAGUUCAACUAAUCCUGGAAAGAGGAGGCGACGACGAAGCUUGAAGACAUCUUAGUUGAUUAACAGAGAAUCAAGUUUCAAACAAUCGAGCUUUUAAUUGUUUCCAAAAACUAUAAGUUAUUAUUUUAUCAGAUGUUCAUUUUGCUUUACCAACCCUAUCAAGUUAAUCUCAAGCCCAUCAACAAUUUAAAUUUAACCUGAAACGUAAGAAAUUGCUUGUUUUAAUAAGCUCACUUGGGUUAGCUUUUGGUGCUUCAAUUGGUGCUGGUUUUAAAUAAUUGUCACAAUUUAACUUAAUCAACAAUUUAUUGGUACCAAAGGAUUGGGUCAGUCAAAGAGGCAACCAACUUUAACAUUACCAUUCACCUUACAUACUCUAACCAACUCGCAAUUACAAUACUUGAAAUACCUUUAAUUUUGUUCGUCUAUUGUUCUUGGUGGUAACAUUUUUUGACCAAUUAUGAUUUGCAAUUUGAUUUGGAUUGACUAAACUUGAAACUGUUAAUAAACUAAUCAGUAUAAAUAAUGUUAACCUUAAAUAAAAAUCUGUUCACUUUA